GACAGAGGGGGCAAGCGUUGCUCGGAAUCACUGGGCGUAAAGAGCGCGCAGGCGGUCGUUCAAGUCGAGUGUGAAAGCCCCCGGCUCAACUGGGGAGGGUCACUAGAUACUGAUCGACUUGAAGGCAGGAGAGGGAAGCGGAAUUCCCGGUGUAGUGGUGAAAUUCGUAGAUAUCGGGAGGAACACCUGUGGCGAAGGCGGCCAUCUGGACGUUCACUGACGCUGAGACGCGAAAGCGUGGGUAGCAAACAGG
rnacentral:rRNA from 1 species